rnacentral:rRNA from 1 species
UACGGAGGGAGCUAGCGUUGUUCGGAAUUACUGGGCGUAAAGCGCACGUAGGCGGCUUUGUAAGUUAGAGGUGAAAGCCCGGAGCUCAACUCCGGAAUUGCCUUUAAGACUGCAUCGCUUGAAUCCAGGAGAGGUGAGUGGAAUUCCGAGUGUAGAGGUGAAAUUCGUAGAUAUUCGGAAGAACACCAGUGGCGAAGGCGGCUCACUGGCCUGGUAUUGACGCUGAGGUGCGAAAGCGUGGGGAGCAAACAGG